rnacentral:rRNA from 1 species
GGAGAAAAGCAGGGGAUCGCAAGACCUUGCGCUCAUUGAGCGGCCGAUGCCUGAUUAGCUAGUUGGUGAGGUAAAGGCUUACCAAGAAAACAAUCAGUAGCUGGUCUGAGAGGACGACCAGCCACACUGGGACUGAGACACGGCCCAGACUCCUACGGGAGGCAGCAGUGGGGAAUUUUGGACAAUGGGGGAAACCCUGAUCCAGCCAUGCCGCGUGAGUGUAGAAGGCCUUCGGGUUGUAAAGCUCUUUCAGCCGGAACGAAACGGUCACGGCUAAUACCUGUGACUACUGACGGUACCGGAAGAAGAAGCACCGGCUAAAAACGUGCCAGCAGCCGCUUUGAGGGAGUAGGGUGCGAGCGUUAAUCGGAAUUACUGGGCGUAAAGCGUGCGCAGGCGGUUUUGUAAGUCAGAUGAGGGAUCCCCGGGCUUAACCUGGGAACUGCGUUGAAUUAACGGAGCUAGAAGGGC